rnacentral:rRNA from 1 species
UGAGGAAUAUUGGUCAAUGGGCGAGAGCCUGANCCAGCCAAGUAGCGUGCAGGAUGACGGCCCUAUGGGUUGUAAACUGCUUUUGUAUGGGGAUAAAGUCAGUCACGUGUGAUUGUUUGCAGGUACCAUACGAAUAAGGACCGGCUAAUUCCGUGCCAGCAGCCGCGGUAAUACGGAAGGUCCGGGCGUUAUCCGGAUUUAUUGGGUUUAAAGGGAGCGUAGGCUGGAGAUUAAGUGUGUUGUGAAAUGUAGACGCUCAACGUCUGACUUGCAGCGCAUACUGGUUUCCUUGAGUACGCACAACGUUGGCGGAAUUCGUCGUGUAGCGGUGAAAUGCUUAGAUAUGACGAAGAACUCCGAUUGCGAAGGCAGCUGACGGGAGCGCAACUGACGCUGAAGCUCGAAGGUGCGGGUAUCGAACAGGAUUAGAUACCCUGGUAGUCCGCACAGUAAACGAUGGAUGCCCGCUGUUGGUACCUGGUAUCAGCGGCUAAGCGAAAGCAUUAAGCAUCCCACCUGGGGAGUACGCCGGCAACGGUG